GCUGCAGCCAAGCCACCAGCCUAGCUGUAGAGUGCUGUACUCCACAUACUCCUGGAGAUCCAGCCCCGCAGAUCGCGCAUCCCUGCCGCCGUUCGCCUUUAGGCAUCCUAAACUUGAGCGGCAGCUCGGUUUCAACCGAUCGACUGCUUGCUUCAAAUCAGACAGCAUUGCGACCCAGACACCGGAGUCCGCCGAGUGAAAGCACAACGCAGAGUAGGACAAGACCAAGAAAACAGCCACGCGAAGCAGCAACUCUAGGUUGGGAGUGCAGAAGCCAACAAACCUUCUUCGGUUGCGCUGGGCUUCCUUUUAUCCGGGUAGGAGCCACAUCCCUGGGGAAUAUGCAGCGCGCGUGGAUCCUGCUCACCUUGGGCUUGAUGGCCUGUGUGUCCUCAGAGACGCAUUAUUUCAGUGCCCAUUCUGCACAGAAUUUUAGCUAUUUGUUGAGGGAACACCAGUUGCUACUAGCAAAGAAGGAGAAUGUUCACAGAAGAGGAAUGAGUGGAAAGAAGGUUUGAUACCACUGGGUAAAAUGAUUGUGAGAAAAGAAAUUUCAUAUAUGGGGAACAACACACACAACCUGGAAGCAUGACAGAAACUUGCCUUAUUUGGAAAAUUUAUAGGGAAUUUGCACUGUGGUACCAAGGAAUGGUGAAAGAUGCAGGAAAUGAAAAGCAAGAAGUGGGCAAUUUAUAAGUCUUAAAGUUCUAAGGAGACCAUGCUGUUGUCUGCCACACCCACUCCAGUGAAUUCUGUGUGUGAAGCUUGGCCACAGUCCUGAGGCAAAAAGUUUCACAGAAACUUGUCUGCUGGAGAGUCUCUGGUGCCCCAUAACCAGAUUUGUCCCUAAGAUAGGGUGGAGGGUCUUUCAUGCUUUCUUAGAGUAUUUUACUAGAUAAGAGCUAAAAAAUCUCAGGGCAAGUUCUACAAAGAAAACUUAGAAUUACAGCCGAGGCACUCCCAUAUGCAGGAAUUUACAAUGGCCUAAGAAGAAGGAGGGUUGUGGCUUAAGGAGGAACUACAGUAUUACAUUAUUCAUGAGCAAGAGCAGAACCCCCUGGUGCAAGCUUUCAAAAGGCUCAGAGGAAUAGCAUAAAUUGUGACUAGAGUGUGAAAUCCUCACCUGGCUCCCUAAUGGCUAACUUUAGAAAGGGCUGCCUUUUAUCUCAGUUGUAACCACUGCCUGGUUCCUGCUAGUAUUUAUGUAUGCAUUUCUCUGUUUUUUGCAAGAUAAUAUCAAUGUACCUUGGCUGAUGUGUCACCUAACUUCUUUGUUUUCUUCUGUAAUAUAAGUCUGAUGCUCACUUUGAGAAAUUACAUUCAGAUAGUG
rnacentral:lncRNA from 1 species